UGAACGGCGCAGACAGGAAAAGAUACACCAAAUUUCAAAUACACAGGUAGAAUAAAAACUAAAGAGCACUGGAUCAACUCCCCAUAAGUUUGCCAACGGAAGCGCCGCCUAGCUGAGAAGCGGACUCAUGGAAAACUGUACCUAUCUCACAAAAGACGAUCUGCUUUGAAGAUGAUCGUAGAACAAAUGGCUACUAGAUAUUGAAGCCCUGGGGAGUUGAUUAUACACUAUUAAAGUAUUGUUUAAAGCUAUCAAUGACAGCAACCGGAAUACGAGUGGUACUUUUCUUGCUUUACCAAGUUGAAUCAUACCAGAAGUACACCGUCGUAUCCUGUAUAAUGGAACAUUGAAAUGGCUCAAUGUCCAUCAAAAUAUCCAUUUUUGUAUUACUUUUUCGGUAGAUAGGCAAGUUGGAUUUUAGAGUGUAUUUUGAAUGGAAUAUUUUAAUUCGCACCCAGAUAUCCAGUGUAGUGCAGAUAUCCAGGGAUCCUGAACCGCUACCCACAAUUUUCCCGACAGGAGAUUCGCGGAAGUGAUAUGCGAGACGUUGAAAAUUUCCAUCCGCUUGGAGGUCAGCGACUUGCUUCAUUAAUUAA